CUCCUAGCUAGUAGUCUACUAGCUUUGUUCCCUUGCGUUUAUUGAUUCAUUUUUAACCUCUGGAGCAUGUAUCCUGUUUGUUCUAUUGCUUUUUGGUGUAGCUUGUUUGUAAUAUUGGCGAUUUGCGAUUUUAGCUCAAUAGAAGGGGAGAUUUGGUUUUGUGUGUUUAAUUGGUACAAUUCUUUCUUCCAUUGCGUGGUCUGGGCCGAGGAUUUUCUGUGUAAG